UGGGGAAUAUUGGACAAUGGGGGCAACCCUGAUCCAGCCAUGCCGCGUGAGUGAUGAAGGCCUUAGGGUUGUAAAGCACUUUCGCCGGUGAAGAUAAUGACGGUAACCGGAGAAGAAGCCCCGGCUAACUUCGUGCCAGCAGCCGCGGUAAUACGAAGGGGGCAAGCGUUGCUCGGAAUCACUGGGCGUAAAGCGCACGUAGGCGGGUUGUUAAGUCAGAGGUGAAAUCCUGGAGCUCAACUCCAGAACUGCCUUUGAUACUGGCGACCUUGAGUUCGAGAGAGGUUGGUGGAACUGCGAGUGUAGAGGUGAAAUUCGUAGAUAUUCGCAAGAACACCAGUGGCGAAGGCGGCCAACUGGCUCGAUACUGACGCUGAGGUGCGAAAGCGUGGGGAGCAAACA
rnacentral:rRNA from 1 species